GACGAACUGUUCUAACGUUAUUCGGAAUCACUGGGCUUAAAGGGCGCGUAGGCUGUUUGUUAAGCGGGGUCUGAAAUCCCUCGGCUCAACCGAGGAACUGGGCUUCGAACUGGCAGAAUAGAGUGAAGUAGGGGUAAGCGGAACUUGCGGUGGAGCGGUGAAAUGCUUUGAUAUCGCAAGGAACACCGGCGGCGAAGGCGGCUUACUGGGCUUCAACUGACGCUUAAGCGCGAAAGCUAGGGUAGCGAACGGGAUUAGAUACCCGUGUAGUCCCUGAGCGGGCU
rnacentral:rRNA from 1 species